rnacentral:lncRNA from 7 species
AGAAAGAUGGACAGUAAAAAGGUUAACAUGCGAGAUGCGACGCAACGGCUUAACAUCCGGACCCAUAAAAUAAUAUUCAGCGACAAGGCGAGAAGCUUUGCGCUGGCACUGCAUGCAGCUGCUAGUCUUGUACGUAAUUUAAUUUGUUUACGGUUCUUGUAGUGCCUACUCUAACCAACAGUAAUGCGUAUAGAUGGAUUCUAUGCCUGAAACUGAAAAGCAAGCAGAUUGACGAGAUCUGUGAACCUUGGCGAUCCUGAUGGAGUAGGCGGCGGCAGGCGGGAAGCUGCUGGAGCGCAUCUGCCAGGCCGGGC